GACAGAGGUCCCGAGCGUUAGACGGAAUCACUGGGCUUAAAGCGUGUGUAGGCGGAAGGGUAAGUACCUUGUGAAAUCCCACAGCUCAACUGUGGAACUGCUUGGUAUACUGCUUUUCUUGAGCCACUUAGGGGCAACCGGAACAAAUGGUGGAGCGGCGAAAUGCGUAGAUAUCAUUUGGAACGCCAAUGGUGAAAACAGGUUGCUGGGAGUGUGCUGACGCUGAGACACGAAAGCCAGGGGAGCAAACGGG
rnacentral:rRNA from 1 species